AGGGCUGUAACUCAGUGAUAUAGUGUCUGCUUUGUGUGCAGAAGAUUCUAGGUUCAAUCCCCAGCAUCUCAA